UGUAAGCGUAUACCAAAGUUGUUGCAGUUAAAACGCUCGUAGUCGGAAUUUGGCAGUUCCGGAAGUGUGCACGUCGUGUGCGCACUUUGCGGGGACUGCUUUUGUGGUCUUGCGUAGGAUGAGGCACUUUCAUUAGUGAACGUCCUCACGCAACCACUCUUUACUGUGAGAAAAUCAGAGUGCUCAAAGCAGGCAUUUGCCGUGAAUGUAUUAGCAUGGAAUAAUAGAAUAGGACUCGGUUCUAUUUUGUUGGUUUGUUGGGACUGAGUAAUGAUUAAGAGGGACAGUUGGGGGCGUUUGUAUUCCGGCGCUAGAGGUGAAAUUCUUAGAUUGCCGGAAGACAAACUGCUGCGAAAGCGUCUGCCAAGGAUGUUUUCAUUGA
rnacentral:rRNA from 1 species